CAAAGAGAAGCUCGGGCACAAGGCAGGAAGAGGUUGCUGCCCGUGCUGGAGGCGGCCGGCCCUGCUGGGAGCUGUGGCCUCUGUGCUGUGUGAGCUUGUUCCACACAUUGCCCUGACCUCUCCUCACCUGUCCUGCCUCUGCCCUGGCUGCUGGGUACAGCUUGCAGGACUGACUUCUGAGUAAGAGUGGAUUUUUUGGUUGUUUGGUUUGGCUUUCUCCUUUCUCUCAGGGCAGCGCCGUCAGGCCUGGGCUGUGAGCAGGGCUGUAGCAGCCUUUCUGCAAGAGGCUGGGUGCUCUGCUGACACUGAGGGAAAAGUGGGGCUUGGUCGGGUUUGGCUUUCAAUGAAAAGAAAAAUCCUUUCCUGGAUGAGCUUUCCUUGUGAGGACAUAAAACUGCCUUCUGCUUCUCAACACAGCCUUUCCACAAAGCACUCUUCUGUACAUGUCUCUUAACAACUUGUCCUGUUUGAGUGAAGCAUCCUAAUUAUGAAAUAGCUCUGGGUUGCUGGCACAGGCUGGGCAAAGUCAUGCAGCCCUCCUGAGAUGGAUGCCUGUGCAGGGCAAGGCCACAGUGAGAAAAGGUCCUCAGGAGAUGUGGCUGGAAGGGAGGCCUGGUGUUCUGUGCACCCCCAGAGCAGGUGCCUGAGCAAGGCUUCCCUUUCUGGGCCUGCUAACAGCAGUGUGGCUGUCGUGGGCCUGCCAGCACAGCCAGGGUGCACAUUCUGGCAGGUGAAGGAGAGAGAGCUGUGGGUGUGGACGAGUGUGGGUGUACAGAAGCUUACUCAGUGGAGGGGCGAGGUCGGACAGGGAAGAGCCAGAGGCACAGGUGUCAGUCAGGACACUGGUGAGGUGGCUCCUGUCCGCCUGCUGCUCCGGUGUCACCCACGAUCUUCUGGGCACACUCUCUCUUGGUGGGGUUGUUGGAGCGUGGAGGGGUCUCCUAGAGCUUCUCACCCUCUGACACCCUCAGGAAUUUGUCACAAGUUCCUGGAGCUCCACGGGUUGACAGCCCUGGUGUCUCCAUUGUCACGGUUUCUGCCCAGCAGCAGCAGGAACAAAUUUGUGUCCUGGAUGAGGAGCAGUGGUCCUGGCACUAUCUGCCCCACUCCCACUGUAUAUAAUGCUCAGUAGAGACAAGGAAGAAAUGCAAGUUGCUGUUUCCCAUCUGCUUCUUUAAACAUAGGUGCUAACUCAAUCCCAAACCUCAAGGGGGUGUGCUGAAAAUAUGGGAGUUCAUGGUGAGGUCAGUCAUGGGUCACAAAGCAGCAAAACACAGUCUCUGCCACCACGGGACAGGGAAGGAGGUUAAUGUUUCACAGUAUCCUUAGCUGAGCAGCACAGCUCUGUCAGUGUUUCACUUGGUAGGAAUUAUUUAUUGACAAGAAGGGUUUCCAGACUGUCCCAAGGAAAAUUCUUUGUGAAACUGUAUUAUUUUCAAGUUAAGCUAUCAGGAACAUGAGUUGAAAACUGACCCAGGGAUGCACUCUCCCUGUCAAUCAGUUACAUUUAGGACAGGAAAGUUAAAAAACUCAGAGGCAGAGCCAAGCACUUAAAAGGAAGAAUUCUUUGCAUUGAUUCCUGUGGUAAAAUGCCAAGACAAGCCUCGUGAUUUCCCAGACCAAGUGCAGAAAAAUGAAAUUAAAAAUAUGAAUAGGCCAGAAACUGAGAUCCUCAUUACAGAAAAGGGCCACUCAAGGGUACCUAAGAUCUGGCCUCUCAUCAGGGAGAGAAAAUAAUUGAGAGAGCUCUGGUUGCAGCUCAGCCAUAGCCUUGUGCUCAGCAUCCUCAGCAACCUUCUUUUUCCUCAUCUUCCAGCUUGCUGUUCUCAUGCCAAUUAAGAGGGGAAAAAAAACCCCAAGGAGUCGAAACUACCUGCUCUAUUUUUAAUCCUAUUUGUCUGUAGAUAAACUGCAUGUUAGAUGAUUAAUAGAUCUUUAUCACUUCAUAAAGUUUAGACUAUAAAAAGCCUACCCCUCUCUUUGACUGUUAAAUAACUAUGUAAGCUUUGCUGCUGGUACUUGGAAUCUAAAUUAGUCACAGCACUUCUGAGAGCAUUUGUUAAUAUCUCAAGUGGACCACGUGGCCUUGGCAGAGCCAGAGGGGAGUUUGUCCCCUUGUGUGGCCUUGGAAAAGCUCAACUGCCUGGUUUCAGCUGGGAAGGCCAAGCCAUGGAGGCUUGGUUAAGGAAAAACUGGGCACAGAUGUAGGCUGUGUUUGGCCAUGCCAGGGCUGCACCCAGCCAUUUGCAUCUGGUGCUUGCACCUUUAACACAUGCUAAUUCAGUUAGAAUUUGUAUGUGAUAAGGGUUUGGGGACUGUGGUGUCAGCAUGGCUCUUCAAAUCGACCCCUCUGUUCCCAAGGCAAGCAUGAAUUUCUUUGGUUUUGUUUUUUUUUUUUUCCUUUUUAACUAAGAGCAUAGGUUGGAAUGGUGUGGCAUUUGAGCAGGCAUUAGACAAAGCCUGAGAAAACCUUAACCUCAAAUGUACUCAUCAACAGAGGCUGUAGCCUCUUCUGAAUCAAGGCCAUGGAUUUGGAUUAAACUGGUAACUUCUGUCACUGAAAGAAGAGCAAAUCUGAGCCUGGGCUUCUGCACCUCCUCAGACACAGCACACUGAUUGGGUAGCCACCAAGUCCAGAUGGAAACUGAUGGUUGCCUAUAAAGACAGUUGUAAAAGUUGUUGCAAUCUGGUGUUUUAUGGAAGCUAUUAAAUCUGUCACCUGGUCCAGUCUGUACCUGAAAAUGUUUAUCUUCCAUGACACAUUUGCCUUCAAUUAGCUAUUCAGUGGUUGCAAACAAUUUUUUAGUCUUUGUCCACAGUUUUUUCUUCUGAAUUAAAGUGAUCCAGCAGCAUAGGUGCAUUAGGUGGUUAAUUCCAGCCUCAUGGAUUUGUCCUAGCCAUGAGGCAGAAGCAGGGGUGGAGCUGGAGGGAAGGCUCUGCCAGGGAUUAAAGCCAGUGUGGGUGGUCUCUUCCUCCAGCACUCCCAAAAUCCAGGAAGGAAGAACCUAAUCCCGGCAAGCUAAUGUGUUAGUGUAAUUACUGAAGCAGAGAAGAGGCAUCUUCCUGCAGACCCUUGUCAUCUACUCUUUGAAAGCAGCCUCAAUCAACAGUCUCCAUUCCUCCAACAUAUCCAGGGGCCUGACUCAGCUUUAUGUAAAAACCUUUGGAGCAAGUCAUGAGGACCAGUUUUAAAGGUUACUUUGCUGGGAUACUGAUAAUGGAUAUAGAAAAGAUCUGAAAAGUGGUGUUUUCUACAGAAUAUUAAUAACAAAUCAUUUUGUACAGGAUACAGAAAAUAAAACCUUCCUAACAGUCAGCUAAAAAAUAUCAAUGUUAACUCAGGUUGUUUGCAAACUUGUUCAUAAAAGAUAAGGCUAUCAAAAUGAAAGGAGGGAGGAACAUCUUUGCUUGAACAGGAAAAAAUAGAAAAUUUCUGAGGAAGAAUUUACCUUAGUGUGCUGAGAACUGAUGUUACAGCAUGAAUUUGGCAUCUCCUAAUGUUGCCCUUUGUGUACCUUGCACUUUCAUGCCAAGCACUAAACCAAAUGCUUUUCUGUGGAUUUGUUCUGUUACAAACUAUUUUUUAUUUAGCCUCAUGACCAUUUCUGGAGUCCAUGUCUGCUUCUGGUUAAAUGGUUGCUUAUUACCUUUUUAGAGUUAUGCAGCCAACAAGGCAAUGCUCAGCCAGGGCUAUCACAGUAACAGCUCUGCUAACAAAGAGGAGGGAGUUGUACAGAAUUCAAAAGAAAAUCCCAGCCUCCCAAAACCCAGCAGGUGAGAGGUGUGUUUAUAUUGAAUUGUUGGAUAAAGUUGUGCAACCCUACAUGCAACCUAGUGUAGUCAGGCUGCCUCUCCUGCCAGGGAUGCCACCCACAUCUGUCUGGGUUAUGCCUACAUCAGCUGUUUCCUGCAGCCCUGCACCUCGAGCUGAUCCUGCUGUUGCUGGGUGUUGCUGCUCUACCUCCAGCAGCUCCCCAACGCUCCCCAGGGCUGAGGCUGUGCUCCUCACAACACCCCCAGCCCCUCCUGCUCCUCCUCAGCUCCCUGACCUGCCCACCCAGAGGGGCCCAGGCAAUGCAGCGAGCCUGGAGGUAAGUUAGCCCCCAUAAAGAAAGGUUUAUAAAUGUGUCUUUGGGUAAGGGGCAGAGUACAGCAGCAAUUCAGCAAUUCUCUGAGAGGGACUGCCAGGCCAGACUCCUGCAGGCAGCUCUUUGGAGGAAGUGUAGAGGCUUGCUGGAAAUACACUGAAACCCAAGGAACACCACGUGCAGACACAGAGCACUGGUUGCUGGAUCAAUUUGUUCAUUAGGCAAUGGCUGCUUCUGAGACUAGAAACAGAAUUUGACUCGCUGUAUUAAAAGCAGGAUAAUUUCCAGACUUCUUCAGGGACCAGUUUGCCCACUUUUAUUCAUGAGGUAGUGAAAACAAACCUUCCCACUCUGCAGUUCCUAAUGCUCUUUCUGUAUUGGUGGCCUAUUUUUCUGCUUGAGGACAGGGAGGGACCAUUGAGUCACACAAUCUCGUGCCCUCUUCCUCCUCCUCCUCUCAUUUAAAUAUUAAUAUGAUGAAUUAUUACUAGAGUAACAGCUGUGCACUACUCAUAUCACAGCAACAUAACCUUCCCCUCCUCAUUGGAGCACAGCUAUUCCUGACUCGUGGUUUCUGCUUGACCUUCUCGCUUCUUCUGGAUGACUUUUUUAGAAUUACUUUGUUAGUUCUGGUGUGGUAUCAUUACAAUAAUUGCUUGUUCUGUUCUUUCUGCUUAAAUAUUAAUGAUACUGAGGAAUUCAAAAGAUAGCUGCAGUAAUGGCUUCUACAGGCUCUGUUGGGAUUGGGCACCUGAACUGAAUUUAAGUGGACUGUUCCUCCCAUGUAUUGCUUUUAAUGGCUCCAGCAGCCACCUGACUCAUGUGGAAGAAACAAGGACCAAACAGGUAGCAAACUUUUCAGAAAUAGGUUGGGAGAGAAAGCUUGUAAAAAUGAGAUCUUAAUUGGACAGGAGAAAAGAAAAUAGAAACCAGGAAAUAGGAAGAGACUUGGAGAAACGAGGUGGGCUCUGAGAGGGAGUGGAGAGACUGGUACAGAGGGUGUGCAAACUCAGGGUGUACGAGCUCAGCUACUCGGGGGCUUCUGGUGCUGGGAAAAAUCAGAACUGCCUGGACAAAGCCUAGAAUAACUUGUAAACUCAGAAUUCAGAACUCUGGGGAUCUCUACUUGGUGCCAGGAUCAAAAGUGAGCUGAAAAGUUGAACAAUGAAACAAAGUACAAAACCCUUGCAAUUUUAGUUCUAGUAAUCUUAAAUCUGCUAUUAAGGGCUAUAUUGACUUUGUUCUUUUGUGACUCAGUUCAGAACAGUGGAAAUGAUAUUAUUCUGACGUUCUUUCAAAUUGUAUAAAUUAAUUUAAUGGUGAUUUGCAGAGCCCUUAAACCCUGGUGGUUCUGUGCUCAGACUGGGGCAAUAUGUGAUGACCAGUACACUGAUUUUGGUUUUUGUCAGUAUCCAGUUGCUGGUAAUCAGGUGAACACUGUCUUAUGCAAUGAAUGAAGGAGAGCACUGAGCACUUGUGAGGAGAAGAGGGAAUAUCUGCUCCUGCAGUAAAGCUGUAUCAGAGCAGACAGAGCUUGUUCUGAUUACUGUCAUGCCACACAGAGCUCCCUUCCAAGGUCAGAGAAGUUUACUAGCUGUCAUGAAGACCCAUAUUCCCAUGUUCUCCUGCAAUCUGAAACAUUUCAGCAAUCAAAAAGACCAAUCUUCUUGUUCCUCUGUGUGAAAAGGUUCAAAAGUUUCUAUUACUGCCCUGCUGCUUCCCUUGAUUUCAGCAGUCCCCGCAGGCUCUUUGUUGAUGUUUCUUAGUUGACAGCAUCCUGUUCAAGCCCUGCCUCUGACUCCCUGCUGCCUAGCAAUGAUUACACUGCUAUUGUUUACUAACAAACCUCUCUGGACCUGGGCUGAUAAACACGGGGUACAGGGCAGUACUUUGAUCGCAAAUUGUACAUGCUGUCCUUGAAGCAAUUUUACUACAAGCAAAUCAGUUGCCUUAAUUAUUGAAACAGGGAUAUUAUCACAAACCAUAACAGUCUCACUUUACUCUGUACUUCGAGGAAGUAUCUAGAUAGUCCAUGAAACUGUGGAAAUACCAGCUUGGGUAGUCUGUUGGGAGAAAAUAAACAGCUGACAUCUCAAAGCCUUUGUUGGGCUGAGGGGAAAAUCACCAUCUUGGUUUUGAUGAAUAUUGUGCUGUUUUGUGAAGUCUUUGUAAAGCAUCUCUGACAGACAGGCUUGGGAGUGUUAAGUCCUCCUUGGAGCUGCCCUUGGAGCAGCAUGGCUUGGGCAGUGGUAAUAAGAUUCCUAGUCCAGCCCUGGCAGUAUGAUUUAACUCUGAAGGCGAGGGCUGAGUCUUCUGUUGGAAAUCAAGGAUAGACAGGCUGUCCCAGAAAAGUUACCAGCAAGAAAAAGGGGAGAGGUUUGCAAGCUGCAGUCUUACCCCUCUGGGCCACCAUUUCAAGACACAGGAAGAGUUUGCUCAGUCUUGUCUACUGGCUGAGCUGGUUCUUGAUUGCUUUGGGUGGCCAUGUAAGAACUGCCCCAGUGCAGCCUGGCCUUGUCACUCCCACUGCUGAACACGAGCGAGAGGGUUUGUGCACCUGACCUCUGUGAUCAUGGGUGCCAGGAGGCACAGGAAGGUCUGUCAGCUGGUUUGUGAGCUGGGGACAUCAGAUGACACACAGGAACCCUGCAGCAGCUCUUGCUGUCACCCAGGGCCAUGCUGGAGUAGGUCGUGGAGCACAAGUGAGCACUAUUAUCGUGCUGGAGCUGAUUGCUGCUGAGUUGCAGCAAUCAUGAGAACCAAGUAUUGCAAUCAGAGCUGGUCCAAAGGUUGGAACUCAUCUUCUUUGAGUCAUUUUGAUUGCUUUUUUUGGGAGUGUCCUGAUUAAACAAUAAGAAGAAAUAUGAGAUAAUGGUUAGCAGCUUUUGGUGUUUGCUAAAAUAGGUUUAUCAGGAAUUGGUUUUAUUUUAAUUGAGACUUAAAUAGGUCUCUGGUGUUUCAUAAAACACAAAGAGUGAAGGAGGAAUAUAUUUUUCUUUUCAAAAAAUAUAAUUUUAGUGUCAUGGGGUAUCUAUUAAGUUCUCAUUUAACAUUUGACUGUUGAAAUUUGCAGUUCAAAACUGUUUAAAGAUAUGCUGGAGAUAAAAGAAUGCUGAUGCACUUAUAAGCAGAAGAUUUCUCUACCUCUUUAUCUUUCUUAAUUCCAGCUCACUUGCAGGGUAAAUCUUGCUAUUUAUAUAAUGAAAGAACCUAUAGGUAUAACCCUUCAAUGAAAUAUUUACCUUUAUGAGAUAACUUUCUGGGUGGAGGACUGCUUCUCAGUGCUUCCUCAGCACAGGGGUGUCCAAUGGAAGUAUUUCUGACAAGAAAAUUUGCAAGAAAAUUCUCCUGACAAGGAGAGUUUCUGACAAGAAUCAAGGUCAUGAAGGUCAGUUGCACCAGCUGGCACUGGAGCUCUCAUUAAGUUCUGCAAAGGCUGACAGCCUUGCCUACCUUCUCUCCUACUCUGCUCUCCUGGACACACUGUAUGUGCAUGUGUCAGUAUCCACUAGCAAGUGGAUUUGUUUUUCUGUCCUGCAGUGUGAACAUGGACAGAUGUAUUUCAUUUGUCUAGCCCUUAACUGAAAAAGUUUGGGAUGACCCAGUUUCAGCACUGUACCUCUAAGAGAGGUAAUAAAUCUUACAUUUCCAAAAUAACAAAGAUUCAGUCAGAUUUUAUGUCUUUACUGGGGAAAAAAAAAAUUUGUUCUUCAAACUUACAGAAGGGUAGAUCAUGGGUAAAAUGAGUUAGUACAAAAAAUGUGUAAUGUAUUAUUUAUUCCUUUCCUAGGCAGGAGUGCUUCUAGGCUCUUCUGUCUGUCAGAAGAAUAGAUAACUCAAAAAUCCUGGGUAGAAACCAUCCACUCCUGAAAGUAGGAUGCCUCUGAGCUACAGUCAUGAGAGGGAUCAAAUAUGCCAUUGUCUCUUGAAGUAAAAGCUCAGCAGAAGUGCCUGCUGCUGCUGUCUCUGGCAGAGAAAGCACUGGGGCUGUUGUGGUGGUAUGAGCUGAGCUGUGUGCCUGGUGCUGAUGCUCCUCCUGUGCCCAGGGCAGAAGGGAGGAGGCUGGUUCACACCUGCUUGGGGGCCCACACGGUGCUGAACUGUACUGUGGGAAUGUAGAGGGCCUAAAGACAUCCCUCUCUGAGUGACUGACUGAAAAACAACCUGCUGGGGAGGUACACUAUGUGUUUCUCACUAAUUUAGUAGUUCUCCAUGCCUAGCAUGUUGAUCAGUCACCCACAGUGCCAAAAUAUGGCUGAGAGGUGCUUCCUGCAGUUGGGAAAAGGAGCCAGCUUGGUACUGGAGGUGAAGGUUGGAGUCACUGUGUUCAGGUUACAACUGUUCAAAGUUUUGUCAUAAACUUAAGAAUGCUAAGAGUUUGCCCCUAUUCCAAAUAAAGCAUUUAUUGGGGGCUAAAUUAUUGGGUUUUAUCUUCAUGGGAGCUGACAGAAACAGAACAAGACCAGGACUUAAUGUUCCAUUCUGUAUUACUACUGCAAAGAGUAACAGGGAGUUCUGCAGAUGAGAUGAAUAGACACAGCUUAACCUCUAGGUAUCUGUUAUUGGAGCCCAUUUAAAGCACUUUGAGUUGGAAGAGACUUUGCUGAAGCUAAUGGGAAAUGCCAGGGUAGGAAGAUGAUCCCAGUGUUUGGCACCAGUCAGAGCCUGGAGAAUUUCCAGUGUGUGUGUUGGCAUUUGUAGCAUGUAAGGAGAGUGUCUUUUCUCCCCAAGAGUAAAAGACAAAGCGAGUUUAGACAAUUCUGGUCAGUUUUUCCUCUUCAAAGGAAAAAUUAACUUUCUUGUUUCUCAUUGUAGUGCAAUUGCAAGCAAAUACUUUUUGCUUGAGUUGUAAUAAGAGGUCUUGUGUUUCAUAAGGCUAAUACCCUUUGUAGUAAAUGAUGCUUCUGUGCAUUAAUUCUUUCCCCCUGUGCAGCAGUCCGUGGUGCAAGUCCUUUCCUCAGCACUUCAAACAGUUGUCUUCUGUAGAGUGGCCUGAGAUCUUGCAUCAUUUCCUGUCAUCUAUCCAAAGCUAUUUAUAACACGUCUGCUGAUUCUGGCACAUAAGCAAAACCCAGUUUUCAUGAGAAAACAAAUAUUUUGGAAAUGUAAUCUCUUCCAGCAAGUGUCUCAAAACUGCUGAGAAAACCUGAAACAACCUUGAAAAUCUUAAUGAAGGCUAAGACGUAAAUGGUGUGGGGAAUAUGGGUAAUUGAAUAGUCCCAUAUGUUUUUAGUGGAUAUCUUUAGAAAUAGACAGUAUAAGAUGUGCUGAGAAAAAGUUACAGAGUUUUAAGGCAGAGGAGGUGUUUCCAAAAUAUAGUUGCUAGUGAAAGGAAAACUUUGGGUUUUGCUGUCUGACAAUACAACAAAAGUGACUCAAGGUAGCCUUUGCAAUGCUGAGUAUUCGCUGUAUAAUUAGAUGGUAGAUGUUCUAUAAAAAGUCCCUACUUCUUGAUAUUUCUUAGAUUUUCAAUCUCUUUAGCUUCAGGAGACUGACUGGGGCAGGAGUCUGGCAGGGACAGUUGCAAUCAUUACUUGAAGCAGUGUGCUUCCAGUCAACCUGCUGCUUUUGAUAAGUGCUAUUUUGGGACUCCUGAAAAAGGGUGUUGGCCCCAGCCAAAACGCACCCUGAGCAGCAGAACUGCUAUCGGCCUCCUGCAGGCCUGCCCUGACCCUGCAGGCACCGCGUGGCCCUUUAUCUGUGGCCAUCCAGUGUGCUGCUUGCCUGUGAAACUGCUGCAUCCAUGAGCUGGGGCACGCUGGGCAUCGCUGUGCCAGGAGCCAGUGCAACUCCAGGAUGGCUUCUGCCUGAGCAGCCACAAAGGCACAGCUUCUUAAAGUGCCUCCCAAGGCAGUUUGUUUCAUCCUUUUUUCACAAUACCCAUGUAUUUGUGUUGAGCUUUGCCCCCUGUAAAUGUAUUUCAAGAGGAUUCUGGUGUGGAUGAAAAUGUUAGUGAAUGUUAGUCCAAUUUUUUCUUCUCUGUAAAUGACAAACUCUGCAGCACCAGCUGUAUUUACAAUCACACCAGAGGCUUUAUCUCUGUAAUGCAAUAGGAAUCAAAAUGCUACAUGUACGAAGGCUUACAGUGCUAUAAGAAUGAACAAGAGCAGUUCUGCAUAGCAAUAUGUAUAUUUCUGCAAUUAAAUGCAAUAGUUCUACAAAACCACAGAAUUGUUCUAAAUAAAUCCAGCAUCAGGCAUUCAUAACUUGCCCAAGAGCUGACAUAUUUUCCAGCAGGGAUCCAAAAUCACAUGUAUUUUUUGCUGAGAGCACCCAGUCCUGUUUCCAGGGAAUCUCUCUACCUUGGCAUACUCAAGGUAUUACAGAUAUUUAAAUAAUAUCUGCUGCCUUUCAAUUUUAGCAGCACUUGAGCUAAUGCAAUAACCAGCACAGAGGCCUCAGACAAUUGUGUUCUGGUGCCACUUCAGUUGGCAGAUGUGCUCUCCUAACCACUUCACUUGAGGUUUUAGAGGUGAGGAUGAGCAUGGUCCCUUGCUGAGGGUCUGAAUGGGGAAGAACCAUCGCACGCUGAAUUUUCUUGCACCUGAAGUGCUGGGACAAAAACAUUUGGUGCUUCUUGUUUCCACUUCAUCUCACACUUUGCCUUGUCCUCCUACAGAAUAUUUUUCAUCUCUAGAUUCACCCACUGCCUGGAUCUACAACCUGACUCCAGCACACCCCCAAUGUCCCAUGCUGGGAAGUUAGAAGGAGUUUGGUCACUUGGAGCACCCAAGUAUGAAAAUGUUGGUACCUGUCAUCCUUUAAAAAAUUAAACUAACACACAUACAGCCCUAAUUGCCUACCUCAGUAAAUUUUUCUGCAUGUUUGCUAUUCUGUGCAAGCUAUCUCUGUGCAAGAUAAACUAAUGAGGAAAUGAUGAAAGGCUGAGAACCUGGGAGAGCUCCAGCCUUACACACAGCGGGCUAAUGCUUCAAGUGAUGACCCAGCUACAAGGCAACUUUUCUAAGCUUUUCUCUUCUCUCUUUAUUGACAUGGCUUUGCCAACUCCUGCUUUGGGCAGCUGCUCUGCCCUGUGCUGAGUGUUGUUUAAAAGAUAGAAAAAGGAGGUAAUGGAAUUGCCUGACUUAAUAAAACUGUGUGAUUUUAAGCAGGGGGCCUGCUGUACCAAAGUGUCCUAGAUCACUGAUGAUCUACCAAGGGGGAAGAAUUACUUGUUCUGUUUUAAGUGUUUAAUGACUUUUUGUCCUACAGAAUUUCCAAAGUAUGUCAAACAACCCAUUUAUUUCUAGCCUCAAAGUUGAACAUCUUCUGUGACUUUGUUCUUCCACCUCCAUUUGCCCUUUGUACUUUGCUGCCUGGUUUGAAUUGGUCUCUGUUAAGGGUGUGCUCUUUUCCAGGAAAAGAGCAGGAAUGCAGAUCUUGGGGUAUGGUUUUUUCCUUUAUGCCAAGUCUAUGUCAUAGUUUUCUUUGCUGAUCAGAAUGUAGAUGGUACAAAUCUUGCUCUGGCAAAGUGAGGUCUAUCCAAGUGAGCCCAAAUGAGGUGAUAGUGUGUUGUGUGUCCAGGGAGCUCUGCCUACCACCACGCAAACUUUAACUAAAGGGGAUCUUAACAUUUGUUAAGUUUCUAAGAUGGCAACUUCUGUGUGGUUAUCUGACAAUAAUGCUGAUUGGAAUUAUAUUUUAAGAUUUAUUGGGAAAUUUUUUAAGUCUGCUUAUCUCGAGAGUGAGUUCUUGUUAGAAAAAUCCAUUUGUGUUAAAAAGAACAAAUAAAAAAACCCUGUGUCCGUUA